GAUGAACGCUGGCGGCGUGCCUAAUACAUGCAAGUCGAACGAACAGACGAGAAGCUUGCUCCCUUGACGUUAGCGGGGGACGGGCGAGUGAGGCAUAGAUCAGCAACUUAUAUGUCUGGGAUAACUUCGUAAGACCGGAUCUAAUAACAGAUAAUAUAUUGAACGGCAUGAUUCAAUGGUGAUUGACGGUUUUGCUGACUCUUAUAGCUGGUUCCGGGCCGGAUUAGCUAGUUGGUAAGGUAACGGCUAACCAAGGAGACGAUGCGUAGCCGACCUGAGAGGUUGAUCGGCCACACUGGAACUGAGACACGGUCCAGACUCCUACGGGAGGCAGCAGUAGGGAAUAUUGGGCAAUGGGCGAAAGCCUGACGGAGCAACGCCGCGUGAGUGAGGAAGGUCUUCGGAUCGUAAAACCCUUUUAUUAGGGAAGAACAAAUGUGUAAUUAACUAUGCACGUUUUGACGGUACCUAAUCAGAAAGCCACGGCUAACUACGUG
rnacentral:rRNA from 1 species